rnacentral:rRNA from 1 species
GAAGCGGCAACAGCUCAAAUUUGAAAUCUGGCCCUUUCGGGGUCCGAGUUGUAAUUUGUAGAGAGUGUUUCGGGCGAGACCACGGUCUAAGUUCAUUGGAACAUGGCGUCAUAGAGGGUGAGAAUCCCGUAUGUGACUGUGGAUCGAGCCCAUGUGAAGCCUCUUCGACGAGUCGAGUUGUUUGGGAAUGCAGCUCAAAAUGGGUGGUAAAUUUCAUCUAAAGCUAAAUACUGGCUGGAGACCGAUAGCGCACAAGUAGAGUGAUCGAAAGAUGAAAAGCACUUUGGAAAGAGAGUCAAACAGUACGUGAAAUUGUUGAAAGGGAAGCGCUUGCAACCAGACCUGUCCGUAGGUGAUCAGCCGCUGUUCUCAGUGGUGCACUCGCUCUGCGAUCAGGCCAGCAUCGGUUCGGGCGGUCGGAUAAAGGCCUUGGGAAUGUAGCUUCCUUCGGGGAGUCUUAUAGCCCUCGGUGCAAUGCGGCCAGCCGGGACCGAGGACCGCGCUUCGGCUAGGAUGCUGGCGUAAUGGUUGUAAGCGACCCGUCUUGAAACACGGACCAAGGAGUCUAACAUCUAUGCGAGUGUUUGGGUGUUAAACCCAUGCGCGGAAUGAAAGUGAACGGAGGUGAGAACCCUUAAGGGCGCAUCAUCGACCGAUCCAGAUGUCUUCGGAUGGAUUUGAGUAUGAGCAUAGCUGUUGGGACCCGAAAGAUGGUGAACUAUGCCUGAAUAGGGUGAAGCCAGAGGAAACUCUGGUGGAGGCUCGCAGCGGUUCUGACGUGCAAAUCGAUCGU